rnacentral:rRNA from 1 species
GACGAACGCUGGCGGCGUGCUUAACACAUGCAAGUCGAACGGAAAGGCCCUGCUUUUGUGGGGUGCUCGAGUGGCGAACGGGUGAGUAACACGUGAGUAACCUGCCCUUGACUUUGGGAUAACUUCAGGAAACUGGGGCUAAUACCGGAUAGGAGCUCCUGCUGCAUGGUGGGGGUUGGAAAGUUUCGGCGGUUGGGGAUGGACUCGCGGCUUAUCAGCUUGUUGGUGGGGUAGUGGCUUACCAAGGCUUUGGCGGGUAGCCGGCCUGAGAGGGUGACCGGCCACAUUGGGACUGAGAUACGGCCCAGACUCGUACGGGAGGCAGCAGUGGGGAAUAUUGCACAAUGGGCGGAAGCCUGAUGCAGCAACGCCGCGUGCGGGAUGACGGCCUUCGGGUUGUAAACCGCUUUCGCCUGUGACGAAGCGUGAGUGACGGUAAUGGGUAAAGAAGCACCGGCUAACUACGUG